GAGUUUGAUCCUGGCUCAGGACGAACGCUGGCGGCGUGCUUAACACAUGCAAGUCGAGCGGAAAGGCCCUUCGGGGUACUCGAGCGGCGAACGGGUGAGUAACACGUGAGUAACCUGCCCCAGACUUUGGGAUAACCCUCGGAAACGGGGGCUAAUACCGGAUAUGACCUGUCACCGCAUGGUGGUUGGUGGAAAGUUUUUCGGUUUGGGAUGGGCUCGCGGCCUAUCAGCUUGUUGGUGGGGUGAUGGCCUACCAAGGCGACGACGGGUAGCCGGCCUGAGAGGGCGACCGGCCACACUGGGACUGAGACACGGCCCAGACUCCUACGGGAGGCAGCAGUGGGGAAUAUUGCACAAUGGGCGGAAGCCUGAUGCAGCGACGUCGCGUGAGGGAUGACGGCCCUCGGGUUGUAAACCUCUUUCAGCAGGGACGAAGCGAGAGUGACGGUACCUGCAGAAGAAG
rnacentral:rRNA from 1 species